rnacentral:rRNA from 1 species
CAGCGAUGCUUAUGCGUUGUUGGGUAGGGGAGCGUUCUGUAAGCCUGCGAAGGUGUGCUGUGAGGCAUGCUGGAGGUAUCAGAAGUGCGAAUGCUGACAUAAGUAACGAUAAAGCGGGUGAAAAGCCCGCUCGCCGGAAGACCAAGGGUUCCUGUCCAACGUUAAUCGGGGCAGGGUGAGUCGACCCCUAAGGCGAGGCCGAAAGGCGUAGUCGAUGGGAAACAGGUUAAUAUUCCUGUACUUGGUGUUACUGCGAAGGGGGGACGGAGAAGGCUAUGUUGGCCGGGCGACGGUUGUCCCGGUUUAAGCGUGUAGGCUGGUUUUCCAGGCAAAUCCGGAAAAUCAAGGCUGAGGCGUGAUGACGAGGCACUACGGUGCUGAAGCAACAAAUGCCCUGCUUCCAGGAAAAGCCUCUAAGCAUCAGGUAACAUCAAAUCGUACCCCAAACCGACACAGGUGGUCAGGUAGAGAAUACCAAGGCGCUUGAGAGAACUCGGGUGAAGGAACUAGGCAAAAUGGUGCCGUAACUUCGGGAGAAGGCACGCUGAUAUGUAGGUGAAGUCCCUUGCGGAUGG